rnacentral:rRNA from 1 species
CGGGGUGAGUAAUGUCUGGGAAACUGCCUGAUGGGGGGGGAUAACUACUGGAAACGGUAGCUAAUACCGCAUAACGUCGCAAGACCAAAGUGGGGGACCUUCGGGCCUCAUGCCAUCAGAUGUGCCCAGAUGGGAUUAGCUAGUAGGUGGGGUAACGGCUCACCUAGGCGACGAUCCCUAGCUGGUCUGAGAGGAUGACCAGCCACACUGGAACUGAGACACGGUCCAG